GAGACAGCAGUAGCCGCGGUAAUACGUAGGUGGCAAGCGUUGUCCGGAAUUAUUGGGCGUAAAGCGCGCGCAGGCGGAUAGGUCAGUCUGUCUUAAAAGUUCGGGGCUUAACCCCGUGAUGAGAUGGAAACUGCCAAUCUAGAGUAUCGGAGAGGAAAGUGGAAUUCCUAGUGUAGCGGUGAAAUGCGUAGAUAUUAGGAAGAACACCAGUGGCGAAGGCGACUUUCUGGACGAAAACUGACGCUGAGGCGCGAAAGCCAGGGGAGCGAACGGGAUUAGAUACCCCCGUAGUCCCUGUCUCUUAUACC
rnacentral:rRNA from 1 species